UGGGGAAUAUUGCACAAUGGGCGCAAGCCUGAUGCAGCAACGCCGCGUGAACGAUGAAGGUCUUCGGAUCGUAAAGUUCUGUUGCAGGGGAAGAUAAUGACGGUACCCUGUGAGGAAGCCCCGGCUAACUACGUGCCAGCAGCCGCGGUAAUACGUAGGGGGCUAGCGUUAUCCGGAUUUACUGGGCGUAAAGGGUGCGUAGGUGGUCUUUCAAGUCGGAGGUUAAAGGCUACGGCUCAACCGUAGUUAGCCUCCGAAACUGGAAGACUUGAGUGCAGGAGAGGAAAGUGGAAUUCCCAGUGUAGCGGUGAAAUGCGUAGAUAUUGGGAGGAACACCAGUAGCGAAGGCGGCUUUCUGGACUGCAACUGACACUGAGGCACGAAAGCGUGGGUAGCAAACAGG
rnacentral:rRNA from 1 species